rnacentral:rRNA from 1 species
GAUGAACGCUAGCGGCAGGCUUAAUACAUGCAAGUCGAGGGACAGCACAGGUAGCAAUACUGGGUGGUAACCGGCAAACGGGUGCGGAACACGUACACAACCUUCCUUUAAGUGGGGGAUAGCCCAGAGAAAUUUGGAUUAAUACCCCGUAAUAUAGUUGAAUGGCAUCAUUUGAUUAUUAUAGCUACGGCGCUUAAUGAUGGGUGUGCGGCUGAUUAGAUAGUUGGCGGGGUAACGGCCCACCAAGUCUACGAUCAGUAGCUGAUGUGAGAGCAAGAUCAGCCAAACGGGCACUGAGACACGGGCCCGACUCCUACGGGAGGCAGCAGUAAGGAAGAUUGGUCAAUGGACGCAAGUCUGAACCAGCCAUGCCGCGUGAAGGAUUAAGGUCCUCUGGAUUGUAAACUUCUUUUAUUUGGGACGAAAAAGGGCCUUUCUAGGUCAACUGACGGUACCAGAUGAAUAAGCACCGGCUAACUCCGUGCCAGCCGCCGCCGUAAGAC